rnacentral:snRNA from 1 species
AUGCUUACCUGGCAGCCAAGAUACCAUGAUCCAGAAGGUGGUCUUCCCAGGGUGAAGCUUAUCAAUUGUAUGCCGAGCCCUGCAACUUCCCCAAACACAGAACAUCCGACUGCACAACUUAUGGUACUGGGGACUUGUGUUCAUGCUUUUCCCUC